AUUGAACGCUGGCGGCAGGCCUAACACAUGCAAGUCGAACGAGUGGCGGACGGGUGAGUAAUGUCUGGGAAACUGCCUGAUGGAGGGGGCUAACUACUGGAAACGGUAGCUAAUACCGCAUACCAUCAGAUGUGCCCAGAUUGGAUUCGCUGUUUGGGGGGGUAACGGCUCACCAAGGCGACGAUCCCUAGCUGGUCUGAGAGGAUGACCAGCCACACUGGAACUGAGACACGUUCCAGAAUCCUAAGUGAGGCAGCAGUGGGGAAUAUUGGACAAUGGGCGCAAGCCUGAUGCAGCCAUGCCGCGUGUAUGAAGAAGGCCUUCGGGUUGUAAAGGACUUUCAGCGGGGAGGCGUUACCAGCAGAAGAAGCACCGGCUAACUCCGUGCCAGCAGCCGCGGUAAUUC
rnacentral:rRNA from 1 species